CCUGGUAUGCAGGCGCAUCUUCGGCAACGCAAGUCGAUGUUGUUUGAGUGUUGCGGUUUUCAAACAGUAAUGAGUGUUUUCUGUUUUGAAACAUAGUGAAUUUGUUUGCAGUGAUUGAUGAUGUCGGCGUUGGCACAUAUUAGAUUAGCUAGUGAGCGUGUCGAUAGUACUAUCAGGUCAUAUGAGAGAUCCGUACCUCGUAUAUUGACUCCAGGAGAAAUAAUUACUAGUCAGAGCGGAUGUAUGAGAGGCCAUGGAACAUAUGCAGAAGAUGACAAUCUUAAGGCAUCUGUUGCUGGUGUUGAGGAACGCAUAAUUAAGCUUGUGAGUGUAAGACCACUUAAGAGCCGUUACGUUGGUGAAAUAGGUGACGUGGUGGUUGGAAGAGUAACUGAGGUCCAACAGAAGAGAUGGAAGGUUGAUACUAAUGCCAGACUUGAUUCUAUAUUACUGCUCUCUUCCGUGAAUCUGCCUGGCGGUGAACUCAGGAGACGUUCAGCUGAAGAUGAACAGAAAAUGAGGAAGUACUUACAGGAAGGUGAUCUUAUAAGUGCAGAAGUACUGCAGGUUUAUUCAGAUGGAUCACUGUCUUUGUAUACAAGAAGUCUUAAGUAUGGAAAGUUGUCACAAGGUGUCCUGGUGAAAGUGUUCCCAUCACUCGUAAAGCGUCGAAAAACACACUUUCACAAUUUGACCUGUGGAGCAAGCAUUAUACUUGGAAACAAUGGUUUCAUCUGGCUUUGUCCUACAGCCAGUGCUGAUGAAGAAGGGGGCGGUGGCUUCACACAGAACUUAGAAGAGAAAGUAGACCGUGCUGAUCGAGAAGUGAUAGCGAGGCUGCGAAAUUGUAUUUUGGCCCUGGCAAACAGCAAAAUGAUGCUGUACGACACUAGCAUUCAGUAUGCCUUUGAUGAAUCCAUGAAAUAUAAAGUUGCUGAAUUGUUGCAGCCUGAGCCUAUGAAGGAUGUUGCAGUUCUUACUAGACACAGACUGACUUUGUCUGUGUAAAAGUUACAGUUUAUGUUAACUUUCUGUUAUGGAAGAGCCAUUGCACCAAACAAAAAUAUAUACACACUUGUGAAUGUAUGCUUUCCCGAGAACUCUUCGCCAGAUAUACACACUUGCUUCUGUGAAAUUCUGGUAAGUCCACCAGGCUGUCAGCAGACAUGAUCACACCAAAACAGUUUGAUCAUAGCAAUAUUGUUUCAGUACUCAUGUUAUCAUCCAUAUUUAAUUUUGCAGUUGUUAUAUUUUUUAAAGUUUGUAUGGUGACAGUCCUAAAAAUAAAAUGUAUCUCAUAUAAACAGAAAAAAAUAUUAAGUUAUGUUAAAAUAAAGCAAGUUCGUAGUUAA